GUCUUCGUGGUGUAGUGGUCAGCACGCUGGGCGCGUAUUCCAGAGGUCCGUGGUUCGAGUCCCGGCGAAGACG
rnacentral:tRNA from 1 species